rnacentral:rRNA from 1 species
CCCUUAGAUGUUCGGGGCCGCACGCGCGCUACACUGAAAGGAUCAGCUGGUAAGUUGCUCCUGGCUUGGAAACGUCGGGCAACCCGUUGAACCUCCUUCGUGCUUGGGAUUGGGGCUUGCAAUUAUUCCCCAUGAACGAGGAAUUCCCAGUAGGCGCGAGUCAUCAGCUCGCGUCGAUUACGUCCCUGCCCUUUGUACACACCGCCCGUCGCUCCUACCGAUUGGGUGUGCUGGUGAAAUGUUCGGAUCGGCCGUUUGUCGCGGUUUCCGCGUCAUGUGGCUGAGAAGUUCAUUAAACCCUCCCACCUAGAGGAAGGAGAAGUCGUAACA